rnacentral:rRNA from 1 species
GAGUUUGAUCAUGGCUCAGGAUGAACGCUAGCGGCAGGCUUAACACAUGCAAGUCGAGGGGCAGCACGGGUAGCAAUACUUGGUGGCGACCGGCGCAAGGGUGCGUAACGCGUGAGCAACAUGCCCGUAUCAGGGGAAUAAUCCAGGGAAACUUGGUCUAAUACCCCAUAGCAAUUAUUUGAGGCAUCUUAAAUAAUUUAAAGCUUUGGUGGAUACGGAUUGGCUCGCGUGACAUUAGCUAGAUGGUAAGGUAACGGCUUACCAUGGCUACGAUGUCUAGGGGUUCUGAGAGGAAGAUCCCCCACACUGGAACUGAGACACGGUCCAGACUCCUACGGGAGGCAGCAGUGAGGAAUAUUGGACAAUGGAUGGAAAUCUGAUCCAGCCAUGCCGCGUGCAGGAAGACGGCCCUAUGGGUUGUAAACUGCUUUUGUAUGGGAGCAAUAAGGUCUAUGCGUAGACUGAUGAGAGUACCAUACGAAUAAGCAUCGGCUAACUCCGUGCCAGCAGCCGCGGUAAUACGGGGGAUGCAAGCGUUAUCCGGAUUUAUUGGGUUUAAAGGGUGCGUAGGCGGUUUGAUAAGUCAGCGGUGAAAUAUUUCAGCUUAACUGAAAGGGUGCCCGUU